rnacentral:rRNA from 1 species
GACGAACGCUGGCGGCGUGCUUAACACAUGCAAGUCGAACGGAAAGGCCCUGCUUUUGUGGGGUGCUCGAGUGGCGAACGGGUGAGUAACACGUGAGUAACCUGCCCUUGACUUUGGGAUAACUUCAGGAAACUGGGGCUAAUACCGGAUAGGAGCUCCUGCUGCAUGGUGGGGGUUGGAAAGUUUCGGCGGUUGGGGAUGGACUCGCGGCUUAUCAGCUUGUGGGUGGGGUAGUGGCUUACCAAGGCUUUGACGGGUAGCCGGCCUGAGAGGGUGACCGGCAACAUUGGGACUGAGAUACGGCCCAGACUCCUACGGGAGGCAGCAGUGGGGAAUAUUGCACAAUGGGCGGAAGCCUGAUGCAGCAACGCCGCGUGCGGGAUGACGGCCUUCGGGUUGUAAACCGCUUUCGCCUGUGACGAAGCGUGAGUGACGGUAAUGGGUAAAGAAGCACCGGCUAACUACGG